UUCCCCUCAUCAGUUUUCCUUCCUUCCUUUCUCUCUACCCCUCCCUUUCUGAUUCUCUUUUCAUCUCCCCUCCCUACCUAUUUCCUCCCCUCCCCUCCCUCUCCCUCUCCCUCUCUCCCUCCCUCCCUUUCAUAAAGCCAAGAGCCUGGAAGCAUAGCGCAUCUCAGGCAGGAGGCCAGGGUGCUUUCAGCCCCGUCUCCUAUUUCCUCCUGCACUGCUGUUGAGGAUCAGCUGGUCACACGCCUUCCUGGAAUGUGCAUGAUGAUAAUUGCCUCUUGCACAAUUAUCUGCCAAGCCCUGUCGGUAAUGAAAUGAAUGAUUUAGUUAUCCUUGUUAGGAAUAGCCCACAAUGCUAAGAAACUCAUUAUUGCAGCCACGAGGCUGGCAGGAAUGCCCUCCGAGGCACCUGCGAGUGAGCGGCUUUUACAAUUAGCUCUCUCUUUUCUGCCAGAGACCACAGGCCCACCCUGCCCCCACCAUGAACCAAGUGCUGGAAGCAUUCUAGGGGAAAACCAAUAAAUAAGCCUGAGCCUGAGGCUCAGCUGCAGAUCUUACUGGACAAGCACAGGGCCUUGGGCUUGAUGUCCAUCACUGCAAGAAAUACGAGGUUGGACUGGGCUUCUUGUCUGCCAGCUUUGACCCACACAACAUGAAACUGCUUUCUCCCAGUGCAUGGGAAGGCUUACCCCAAGCUCUGUGGUGAUGAGCAAGGUGCAGAGGCCACUAGGGUUCUGAAGAAAGCUUUCUUGGCCAGCUAAAUGCAGGGCUCACAUUCUACCCCGUGAUCCCAUUUCACACUGCCUCUCUGGAGGCUUUUCUUGUCCAUUCUUUCCCAGUGAUGGUUCAGCCUUUUCCCCUGCCUCAGCCUUUCUCCACUGCCUGUAGCUGCUGGGUCCCAAAGGUAAGGAGGGUGAAGAAAAACAGAUAAAGAUGGGUGUGGCUGGGGAAAGUUGAAGCCAGGGACGCAGAGAUACAUGGUGUUUGACGGAAGCUGGGCCGCAUGAAUCUCCACAUGUGCCCUCGUGUUCUCUUCUUGUUUUCUGGAAGAUUCGAUUCAGAAGUAACUUCUUUGGGAUGGUGGGGGAGAAGCCCCCAAAGUUUUAGUUCAGCUUUGAAGCAGAAACAUUGCUCAUUGACCUCCCCCAGAGCAGCACACCUCAGAGGCCUGCAAGAUGGGGUGAGUGCCUAAACCCAGCCUGACUCCACCCUCUUCAUGGCUCCAGUCUGGAUAAGUGAUGUGGAAGGACCCUGGAGGGGACAUGGCAUUACAUCUCAUGCAUCCCAGCAUGUGCAUCCCAGCAUGGUUCUAGGUAGCCACUGUCCUUUCCACAUCUUGAGGUCUCUUCAUCAUCUUGGCCCCAGGUGUGUAAACUGGGGAGUUCCCUGACCGUGGUCCUUUGCGUUUUCACAGGGUUACAGGGCACAGUCUGUCAGAAGGGGAAACUGAGGCACUAUUUUGUAAAGAGUCUGGUAGGAGGAGAUGCGCUGUGGUUGCUGUGGAGCCAGGUGUAGGAGGAGUCCACAGACCCGUUUAGUUCUAAAUUGGGUGUUGUUCUUCCUCUUGUGAAGUGAGGAGGGUGGAGUUUAUGAACGAGAAUUCAAUUUUAAUCUCGGCUCUGUGGGCACAGGUUGAGGGAGGUAGUAGAAGGAAGACUUGAUCUGGAGUUUGCGGUGACUACAACUUUCCUGCAGAUCCUUGCUACAUGAGGAAUUAGAGGAGAGGUAAGGAUUCAGUGGGCUGAGAAAGGCAGAGACCUAAUCCUUCAUCUCUGUGAGAAAGAAACAGGAAGGAGGAGUUACACUGGAGCAGGCAGGCUACAGGGUGCUGGCGAUGCCCGUGCACACUGCUUCUAGGUAGCACCACUGGUUUUGUUUGGAUGAUUUAUUGAUUUUUUAUUUUUAUUUUGAGAAGAGCGGAUGUCCUGUCAGAGUGGACACCGAUGGCUUUGGGGACUGUGUGUGUGUGUGUGUGUGUGUGUGUGUGUGUGCACUUGUGAAUGUGUGAAGGGGCUGGGGCUCACCAGCAGACCAGAGCACAGGAUCAGAGAGUUUCCGGGUGAGGUGGGGCAAGUCUGGAGUCAGCCCAGAGGAUGCUUGAGCCACACUCCUGUCAGCCUGCACAGCUGGAGCAGCAGCAAUCAUGGGUGCACUCGCUGAGGAGCCAAGAGCAGCCCAGGAAGGAGUAAGUAAAGCAGUGGAGGACCAGAGGGUAUGGUGGGCAGUGGAAGAAUCUGGGGAUGCUCAGUCAUAGCCGGCCUUGGAGUAUGAGACAAGAAGAAAACUGAAGAAGGGGUAUCUUUGUGCCUGUCCGUCCCUGACCUCCACCCCCUACUUGAUGCACAUAUCCAUAUCCCUGUUUCUUGAACCCUGACAUCUCAAAGCCACUGCCAGGGGCUGGAGAUCCCAAUAGAGCAACCAAGGGUGAGCACAAGGACCAAUGUAACCAAUAGCACGACCCACAGUGUACAGACAGUGCAUGUUGGAUGUCCCAAAGCAAGCCGGAACGUCAGUGGUUGUGUCAGGGUGAUGGGGAGGGGAUCCUAGGUUCGGGGACUCACAGAGGGAGGCAGGAAGUGCAGGCAGCAAGGGUUUAGACAAGAUGCAAAUCCUUUUUCUACUUACAGGUGCUCACUUGGCAUACCCUGGAAAGUUGUGGAAUACACCAGCCCGGCCUCAGUCAACAGAGGUAGGAGACAGUGUUGGGCAAUGGGAUUUUCAUUUGUUUACUCAGCUGACCUGCUGUUCUGAGGAUAAGAGGUGGGGCUGAGCAUGUUGUGAAGCUGGUUAAGGGACUGAUGGGUGGGGAGCAGCCAUCCAAACUGCCAUUGUCCCGCUUUGCUUCUCUAGAUUCAAGGACAUGCCUGGUUUCUGGUCCGUAUGCCACUCCCAGAGAACCUAAGAACCUUCUUUGUUCUCAGCCUUCUCCAGGAAACAGUGGGCCCCGUGGUUUUAGUCCCAGAAGGACCUUUGGGAGUUGGCAGGAUCACUUGCCUACAGCCUGGGCCUGGUGUUCUUUCCAAGCCAUAUAGUCCUUUUGGGGGCUCCUAAGGGAUGAGUCAGAAGGCUUUGGAGGAAUCACUGUAAUGCCUAAGACCCCUUUUCCAUUGUCUCUGGCCAUUCCAACCUUAGUGAAUCAUCUUAACUGAAAUCUGUGAGGUCUGGCAGCCAGACAGCCAGUGUGGAAUUCACCAUGGCUUCAGACCCCACUGACACUACCAUUUCUUCCUGCUGCUGCAACCCUCUGCUAGGCUUUCUAAGUCCACAAAUGUAGCCCUUCCUUAGAUCCUUGAGAGCCACUAUUCCAGAGGUGUACAAGGAGCUUUUUUACUGUGUCCAACACAGCAUCUACCCCAGGGGGCUCCCAGUGGGGACUUGGGCAGGGGUGUCAGUUGAUGUAGGUGACUAUUAAUCAGGGGAGAUUAAAGGUACAAACUGUGGGCAUGUAGGAGAGGCAGCACCUGCCUCUGGGCAAGGGCCUGGGGUAUCAGAAAAAGCUUUUCAUGAGCGGUGGCAGCAGUUCAUGCUUGUCACGAGCAGGAGACUGCACUGGGCUCAUAGGUUCUCAUGACACCGCAGGUCGAGGCACUGAAGAUGCAGAGGUCAAGCACAUUACAGAUGUCGGGAAGCAGAGGCAGGAUGCAAAGCCAGGGGCUCUGGCUGUAGAGCCUGUAUCCCUGUCCCUCAUCCCUGGCCUCUAGAGGAGCCAGUGAACUAGCCUGAUGAUGCAUGGCCCACUUGUCUCCUUCUUAUUAGUUUGCUGUCUGCUGAGAACAAAGGACCUCACCAAACACCAAAGAACCUCUCACUACCUUUGUGGGCAGCUGAAUACUUGGCUGAGGCUGAGGCUGUGCCUGAAGGCCUGUGGUUGCCCCUCCUUCUGCCAGCCCCAGAGCCCGUGCAGGAGGCACCUCGGGGCUCUGGCUUUCCCUUGCUCCAUUAUUUAUUUCUGUCUCCCUCCCAAACUGCAAAGUUGAAAGGGCCCCUGACUUAACAAAUCUCUUUAAAGACAGGCCUUUCAGAGUGGUUGGUACCAUAUGGGGGACACUGAUACCUCACAGGACACAGAAUGUGCCCUAGAGAACGUGUCAUUUUAAUGUGAGAAUCAGCCACUCUGCCUGCUGCUGCUCUCCUCCUUGGCAAACCCCGCCUCACCCAUGCCACAGUAGUUCCUGUCGCUUCCGUGACCCUGGAGGCAGGUGUUCUAUCAGCGUGACUUGGUGCUCCACACAGUACUCACAUGGACAAGAGUUGAGCCAAUCAACACAGCACUGUCAAAUAAGUAAAUAAAUAAGUAAAUGACAGAAGUCACAUUCCUUAACCAGCCCCCAGCCCCAUCCCGACCUACCUCCUCUUCCUCAGUUCUGGUGGGUGGCCUGCUUCUCCAGACAGGGAUCUCCAUCCACCUGUAGAUGCCCAGGAGCUCAGCACACUCAAGUGCCAUACAUCCAUGCUCUGGCAGGAAGUGGUAUCUCCUCCCAUUUGUUGAAGUUUGUCCAUCUCCAGUCUGCCCCUGACCUAUAGAACAACUCCUGUUCUCUUGGCACCAACCUUGGAGGUUGGAGUAUAUAUGCCUUCCAUUCUCAGGCAGGGUUGGAGCUCCUUGUGUAUGGGAAGGAUGUGGGUCCAAACUUUAGUUCAGCCCAGCCCUUUGGUGCCCAGCAGGGCCUCAUACCUUGUAGAUACCCAGAGUGGUUCAUAGUUGUGGUCUCUAUUUACACACACACACACACACACACACACACACACACACACACACACACCACAUGUGGUCUUGGACAUGGUAGAAUGCUCUCAUAGCAUCACUGUGUCAGUCUUCCCAGACAUGAGUGUCAGAGUAUCCUGAGCAAACGUGACUUUGUGACUUGACCUUGACCUUUGUUCUAGUCCUUCAAGUUCACGACUGCCUGACUCCUGGCUGACCACAGCUUUCUCAUUCUGGCAGCCACUCAACUACAGUGGGCUGGGGCUGAGGACACAACAGGAAGUUGGGAAGAACCAAUGUUUUCCUUCAGUAAAAUAAGUUAAUCACCUCUCCUUUUCAAAACGGUGUCUGAAGUUCUAGAAGACGAGCCUGGAGGAAGAAGGCCCCAAGAAUGGACACAAUUCCCUCUUCCCUCUCCAGCUCUUCCUUCUGUAAGAACCCGCAUCAGCUCACCUUCCAAGGUGUCUAUUGACAUGGCACCAUGCUCUUCAACUGAUGGACCAGAGUCCAGUGCGCUCUGCCUGGGAAGGAUCAAUCUGUGGCCAUCUCUGCUCACUCUCUCUGCCAUCUCUUCACCAAGUACUGUUUACAGAUGAAUUGCAAAGCAACCAUGGUUUUCCAUGUUGGCCUCAUCCUUUUCUUCAGCUUCCACCAGAAGACAUCCCUCAAGGGACACUGGAAGAGGCUGACUUAAAUAAAGAGACUAAGACCAACAAAGGUAUCUUCAUGGAGACCUGGACAGAGGACGGCAUAGCUCUCAGCAGACCUCCCCCGCCCUGCCCCAAGAGCUGCAGCUCAUCCAAUGGAAGAGGAAAAUCCCCUCCCUUCUGGAGUUCAGGAGGGAGGAAAUGGACUCAGGCUUCAUACCCACUGCUCACACGGACGUAUAACUAUCAGUGUGAGCACUUUCCGCCUCUACUAGAUGUCGUCCUUUAAUGGAAGGCACUGUCUUCUUUUCAGUGGCCACUAUGCUGGGUACCCACUUCAUCUCAACAAACAUGCCUCUCAUGCCUGGACUCUGCAGCUGGUGGUCAUGGCCACUGGUAAAGAACAGGUGUGGGUAUGGACAAAGUCAAGAGUGGCUUGCCAUCUGACUUGAAGUGGGAAACUUACUUGGUUUCCGAUGUGGCUACAAACAGUUUCCCCCUCCCACACACAGCUUUUGGCUCACCGCCCUUAGCAUGUGUGUCUCUGUAGUUAUACGAUCCCAUAGUACAUUAUUAGAGCGAGAGAAAGGGACAUAUGCAUGGAUCAGAAUUGUUUUCUGUCAACAUGUAGAUUUUUCUGCUUUGUUCAAUGGUCAAGUAAAUAUUGAAAUAAAUAAAUGAAAUUAUCUGA